UACGGAGGAUGCGAGCGUUAUCCGGAUUUAUUGGGUUUAAAGGGUGCGUAGGCGGCUUUUUAAGUCAGCGGUGAAAUUUUGCAGCUUAACUGUAACAGUGCCGUUGAUACUGUGAGGCUAGGAUUUGGUUGCUGUGGGUGGAAUGUGUGGUGUAGCGGUGAAGUGCUUAGAGAUCACACAGAAUAUCGAUUGCGAAGGCAGCUCACAAAGCCAAGAUUGACGCUGAGGCACGAAAGUGUGGGGAUCAAACAGGA
rnacentral:rRNA from 1 species